UGGAGCUUGGGAGACUGCAGGCUAGACAGACAUCUCCCCCACCCACUUUGUAAAGGGGCUCUUCCACAUCCUAUGCUGGCUUAGUUCUAAUGGCCGGUGUAGGGGACAUGACUUCCUCUCCCAGCCCCUUUUGAUGUGGCUUGUGCCAGUAGCAGCACUAGCCUGGUCCAGGACUUAUGUUCAAGGAAUACAAAGACUGACUGGAUUUUAGAAGACUCUGUGGGACAGGGACUGUCUCUUCCUGUGUGUUUGUACAACACCAACAGAAUCGUGCCCUGAUCAUGACUGGAGCCUCAGGGUGUUCAUGUAAUCAUCAACAUCUUCUUGCUGAACAAUAUUUAUCACAGACAGAAGAGAAAGACAGGCUUACAGAAGCAGUUCUCAAGAAGUGCAUGCUUCAGUCUUUACUCAUGUUGCAAUAUCUCACUUGAAUGAUGCUAAAGGAGAAGCUUCCAAUAGCUCCACUUUGACACUCAUUUAAAUUAUUCGGAUCUCUUGGGUCUGCAAAAGUGGUCUGGAAAUUUCAUGAGAACAGGCAUUCUCCAAAGAUAUCAGGCACUUCUGUUUCUGGUCACAGCUGGAACGCCUGAGAGAACAACCUUUCUUAUGCUGCAAGAGUAAAAUUGAGUCCUGUUGGUCACACAUUUCUUCACCUGUAAUAAAAGUUCUUCAUGCUGAAUUAUGCACUCUAUGCAGCCCCCUUGUCUCUAUAUCAGACCUGCAGUGUCAUUUCUGUAACCCACUUGUCCUCAGUGGGUUUGCAGAGGUGUAACAGACUGGAACUAAAACAGUUGUUCGGAUGAUACUUGAGAUGGAAUAUCACCCACAGCUCUCUCAUUAUUAGCUGUGUUGACUCUGCAGGUCUAACAGGAGUAAAAACAAAUUUUGUGAAAACAUUUUUAUCAGUGGAUCAGACUCUGACUACAUAAAAGGACCAUAUCUAGGUAAGAAGGUACCAAUUAUAAAUGGCCACUUUGUAGAGUAAAAAUUGAACCUUAGUAUUUUCAGUGUUUAUGCAUUAUGCAGGAAUUUCUACUUUUUCCUCAUUUUGUA